AUGACGCCCCAUUGUCGUCACCUCCCACCUCAACCCAUUGUGAUUCGGCCAAAGCCGAGCAUCUCCGUUCAACGGCUUUUAUUCAACUUCAACAUCUCUCAUCGGAUCUUUGCAACCGUUAUGUGAAUCUCAUCAUGAAGAACCACGACGUAUUUCUAAGGACAAAUUUGACUUGGGUCGCACCUCAGUUAUGGAACAUUCAGUGCAACUGUCUACACUGAGCCCAUUUAUGUCAAACAGUUCCGCAUCCCAGAAAGUCACAGGCAUCUUGAAAAUUGUUGGAGGCUCACUCAUCAUCGCUAACGGUGAACCACAAGAGGCUGUGGCUUGGACUGCUAUAGCUCUUAGCAUAAUAGCAAAUCUCGUCAUGAGUUGCUUUGACAUACCAUGCUGUGUUCAGUGUGGCAAGAAGUGUGGCAAAGAAUGUGCAUCGAGUUUGAGACGUGUUUGUCUUUUCCUUGAUGAAAUUGUUGCCAUUCCCGUCAGAUGGAGUUUAUCAGAGGAGAUAGAUGGUCCAAUAGAUAUUGCAUGUGGAUGUUGGGGAAUUAUCGUGGAUUUGGCAUUCCUAUGCUGUUGUGGAGACGAAUAAAAUCAAGACGACAUUUCUGCCAGACAUUCGCAAUAUUAUCCUAUUAUCUCAUUUUCUGCAUCAAACCAAGAUCAAGUAUUUGCUGCAUUUGGUUUAGAGACCACAUGGUUGUCUAAGUAUCUCUUAUCUACGUCCUUGGUCACUUUGGUAUAAUCCCACUCCGUUCAUUUUCUGUGGCAUUUGGGUGGGCAAUACCUAAUGCUUGCUCCUCACGAUGGUUGAAAUGCAUUUCCGUGAAAUCAACAGACCCAAGUUCGACUCGCCUACAUUUUGGAAUUAGAGCUCAGAUUGAGGCCUUAAAGGACGAAAGACGUACUAUAUAUAUAUAUUUUUUUAUAUUGAAACGUAAAGAACGUUUAGCGCCUGAAUUCAAUUUGACAAGUUGUGGAAGUUAAAAAUGCUGAAAAGUUUCAAGGUAUCCCUCUCAAAAUUGAUGGCUUCUAUUUUUUGUUGGUGA